rnacentral:rRNA from 1 species
GAUGAACGCUGGCGGCAGGCUUAACACAUGCAAGUCGAGCGCCCCGCAAGGGGAGCGGCAGACGGGUGAGUAACGCGUGGGAACGUACCCUUUGCUACGGAAUAGCUCCGGGAAACUGGAAUUAAUACCGUAUGUGCCCUACGGGGGAAAGAUUUAUCGGCAAAGGAUCGGCCCGCGUUGGAUUAGCUAGUUGGUGGGGUAAUGGCCUACCAAGGCGACGAUCCAUAGCUGGUCUGAGAGGAUGAUCAGCCACAUUGGGACUGAGACACGGCCCAAACUCCUACGGGAGGCAGCAGUGGGGAAUAUUGGACAAUGGGCGCAAGCCUGAUCCAGCCAUGCCGCGUGAGUGAUGAAGGCCUUAGGGUUGUAAAGCUCUUUCACCGGAGAAGAUAAUGACGGUAUCCGGAGAAGAAGCCCCGGCUAACUUCGUGCCAGCCGCCGCAGUAAAAC